CCCAGAAUCCUGGAAGGAUCACAGGGUACCCUUAAACUUCAGAAACCAAGCGUACAGGUGGAUGCUUACACACAGAGGUGUGAGGAAGGGAUGAGAAAAUCCACACUGAGAGCUGUUGGGGUGUUCUGGCCAACACCCCUCGUGUGCAAUUCACCCAUGGAAAUUGCUCCUGCAUCCACCCUUGGUCCUUCUGUUUCUCUGCAAGCCCUGCAGACACGGCCCUCUGCGUGCUAAGCGCUUAAUUCCUGUUUUUUUCAGUGUGUAGGAAGUGCUAAAUGUCCCAGUGAGCUUGUGCUGCCUUUUCACCCCGCAGCCUCCGGAAUGUGGCGGGGAGGUGAACCCAGGGAGACCUUGGGCGCAAUCCUGGGGAGUCCCAAAAGGCAGGGAAGGCGUCUGCCUUCUUCCCAGCCUUCUCCACCUCUCCGUCCCUGUGUCCUCCUCGGCCUGCCCUGCUCCGAUGAAUUAUUCAGGCACGCAGCAGUUGCUACAGGGCGCUGUCAUGAAUAACAACAGCGGCUAUUUUUAUCCCUAACUCCUGUUACCUUGCGGCCAGGAGCGGUGGGGCCCUGCCAGCUCCUGGCAGGAGGAAAACUGCAGCGAUCCACAACGUCUCCGUGGGCUGGGAUUCGUUUUGACCACCCAAAUCCGACCUGCCAAGCGGAAUACUCCAUCAAAUUAUUCCAGAGGAGGGCUAAAAGGCCUAAAAAGGAAACGCCGAACUUUCACUUUGACACAGAGCAAUGUGAAAAAAUCUCUCAGGAGCAGGACAAAUAUCCAGGACUUGGACUAUGCAUAUCCCAAACCGGCCACAGUGUUCCCAACAUCAUUUCCAGUGAUUGAUCUGAUCCAGGCGCACAAACAGAAAAUGGGAAGCGGGGCAAAGGCUGUUUCCUGCUCCUCUUCCGAAACACGAAUCGCAGCUGCUCCCCCUGGAGAGAUCAGGCAGCGGGAAUUCUCUUCCUCAGCGUUUGCACAGCCCAGCAGACCCCGGGGUGAAUAUUCAUUCCCAGGAUUACCCUGGAAAAACUGCUGUUAGCUACAAUAUCCAGGGGACACGGCCAAGUUUGGGUGCCCGGUAUGUCUUUGCUAAUGUUUUUGUCAUGCUUUAUAUUCUUUUCCUAUUUUUAAACAGAGUUUAGAUAAAGAUUUUUAAGGGAUUUUUAAGGGGGAGCAGCAGGUUUCCCUGUGGGCAGCGGCACCUUUUGAUUCCUGCCUAAAACAGCCUCUUAGAAGACUUAAAGGAGGCUUGGAAAAAGGAGGGAAAGGGAGUUUUUACACAAGCAGAUAGUGAUAGGACAAGGGGAACUGGUUUUUAAAUUGCCAGAGGGCAGGGUUAGAUAGGCUAUUGGGAAGAAAUUUCUCCCUGUGAGGGUGGUGAGGUCCUGGCCCAGGGUGCCCAGAGCAGCUGUGGCUGCCCCUGGAUCCCUGGAAGUGUCCAAGGCCAGGUUGGACAGGGCUUGGAGCAGCCUGGGACAGUGGAAGGUGUCCCUGCCCAUGGCAGGAGCAGUGGAUGAUCCUUAAGGUCCCUUCCAACCCAAAGCAUCCUGUGGUUCUGAGACACAUCAAAACCACCAUUUCCAUUCCAAAUACCACGGGACCUGUCCCUUUUGUGUGUUCAUCCCCAAACUGCUGGAGUCACACCGAGGCCACGUUAAGGGAGAAAGCAACGCCCACCCAGCCUUUACGGGGUGAAAACACCCGGAAACGGGACUCCCCAAAAUACAACAUAAAAAACAAAACCCCA
rnacentral:lncRNA from 1 species